GCCCCCAUAGUUCAAUGGACAGAACGAUCCCGUCCUAAGGGAUAAAUGCGUGUUCGAUUCAUGCUGGGGGCG
rnacentral:tRNA from 1 species